rnacentral:rRNA from 1 species
UACGAAGGUCCCAAGCGUUAUCCGGAUUUAUUGGGUUUAAAGGGUGCGUAGGCGGGCUAUUAAGUCAGUGGUGAAAGCCCCAAACUUAACUUGGGAACUGCCAUUGAUACUGAUGGUCUUGAGUACAUUUGAGGUGGGCGGAAUGUGUCAUGUAGCGGUGAAAUGCUUAGAUAUGACACAGAACACCGAUUGCGAAGGCAGCUCACUAAACUGUAACUGACGCUGAGGCACGAAAGCGUGGGGAGCAAACAGG